CUAAGGAACCGUCUCCUAAAAUGGCAGCAGGGUUGUAUCUAUUGUAAACACUCGAUGAGGAAAGAUCAUCUUUCUGUAAAGCAUAAUGUUGACUUUAUGAACCAUCCACACUAACAUAUUCAGCCCAUCAUGAGCACAGUGGGAGAAAACCAGCUGCAGAGAAUAAUCCGAGAUCUGCAUGAUGCAGUUUCUGAGUUGAGCAAAGAACAUUGUGAAACUGGAGAGCCCGUCACCGAUGACAGUUCCAGUCUUCACAAGUUCUGCUAUAAACUGGAGUACCUACUGCAAUUUGACCAGAAAGAGAGAACCACAUUUCUGGGCAGCAGGAAAGACUACUGGGACUAUUUCUGUGACUGCUUGUCCAAGAUUAAAGGAGCUAAUGACGGCAUUCGCUUUGUCAAAUCAAUCCCCGAGCUGAAGACGUCAUUGGGGAAAGGACGGGCUUUCAUCCGCUACGGUCUGGUGCACCAAAGGCUGGCAGACACUCUUCAGCAAUGUCUUAUGAACUACAAAAUCACCUGUGAGUGGUAUUAUGAACGCAGUCCCUUCUUGAAGUCCCAUCUGAACAUCGAUAUCAUCAACCACCUGUAUGAACUCAAUGAGGUCCAGUUUGAUGUAGCAUCCCGAGGUCAUGACCUUGACUCUGACUGGCCUACCUUUGCUAGAAGGACUUUGGGUUCAGCUGUCUCAUCUGCCCAUGUGUGGAAACCACCCAGUCGCUGCUCAAGUGUCAACAGUCUGGUCAGCAGUUACUCACAGCAAGCUCAGGAGUUUCUUCCAGGCCAAGAAUUUGGGUCCAGUCUGCUAGGUGAUCUGGGUGAGUUGGGCGAGCUGUCUUGUAGCCCUUCUGAGGACCUACGCAUUGAGCUUGACCAAUCUGAGUUGAGACAACAAGAGCUCCAAGAGAAGGUUCAUCAGCUCACCAGUGAGGCAGCUGAUCUUAGAGCCGUGCUCAGUGACCUACAGGAACAACUCCUGGCUAAAAGACCUAAUCAAGAGAAAGAAGGAGAACAGUCCUCAGGGGAGGCUCUCCAUACCACCCAACAGGAGCUGGAGUCUCUGCAGACAUCAGAACGCAAGCUAGAAGCCAAGCUGAGCAUUGCGGAGAACAGGAACAUGGAGUUGCUGUCAAAGCUUGAUGGAGCUCUGAGCGAAAAGGGACAGCAGGCCGCCAACUACUGCGACUCAGCCUGGACGAUCCAAGAGCUCCUGACCAAGCUAAAGGAGGCUGAAGAAGAGAGGAUUGAGUCUAAACGAGAGAGCGAAGACCGAGCUAGACUAGCUGAGCGACUUGCCCAGGAUCUGACGCUUCAGGAGGAGAAAGUAAAGGAGAUGAAAGGAAAACUGGACACAUGUAGAGUUUCCGCCGACAAAGAACGAACAACUGCAAAGCAACAGGCUGAUGAGCUGCAGGUGACCAUUAACCGCCUUCAGGGAGAUCUAUCUCUGAAGGAGCGGGAAACUGGGAAUCUCCAGACACAGCUUCAGGACUUGCAAAAGGCAUUGGAGGCCCAGGAGAGUCAACUGGAGGAGCACAAGAAAAGGAUGCAAGAUGAGUUGCAACAUAAAAGUGUGCUUGAAGAGAAACUAAAUGCAAAGCUGAAUGAGUUAUCCAUCAGUACCCAGAAGAUUCGGCAACUGGAGAAUCACAACCAGCGGUUGACUGCAGAGAGUCAGAGCUUUCAAGGGCAAGCCAAGAAACUGGAAGAGUACAAGACCCAGUGCACAAGUUUAAUGGAGAUCAAUGCCAAGCUCAUCCAGACUGUGAAAAGACACGAGGACAGCAGCAAAGAGCUGGCACAAACCAAGACCGCUCUAGAGAGAGAACUGAUCACUGCACAGGCCUACGAGAGGCAACUGAUGAGCAGACUGGAGUCAACUGGACUGACUGUAGAGAACCGAAAUCUGGACAAGUGCAUACAGAACGGCCAAACUGAAUUUGAACAAAUUGCGGAGAAGAGUAUAUCGAGCGUGGAAGAAUUAGAUGACAGUGCCACAGUCCCACAGCAGAGAACAUCUAGACAACUACUUGAAGCCGUUGAAUCCUCAAGAAGUGAAAAUGGAGAAUCCACUUCCAGGUUGGCUCUGGCUGAGGCCCAACUUGAACUCAACAUGAAGGAGGUUUCCAGACUUCAGGAGGAGGUCAUGGAGCUCCGGGCACAGCUAUUGGUGAGCUCAGAGGAGAGGAUGAAGAUCCAGGCUCUACAGGAAGUGACAGAAGCCUCCAGAGAAGACCUCCGUGCCCAGACGGAGCAACUUAAGUCCCAGGUGGAAGAGCUAAACCGUAGGCAUGUGGAUCAACUGCUACGCUGCCAUGAAAGAGAGGACGCUCUGGUAAAAGAGAGGGAUAUGGAGGCCAAGGCACGGUCAGAAAUCCAAACGAACAUUACUGCCAUGAGGGAAGAGCUUAAUUUGUUGAAAAAGCAGAACAGCACGCUUGUGUUUGAGAAUGGAGAGGCUUGUGAGGCCUUACAUAGGGCCAACACCGAGACAGCAGAGCUCGGGGUUCACGUUUGCAUGCUGACGGGCCAGAAUGAGGAGGCUCAGUUGCGAUGGGAGGAGCUUUCUACCAAACUGCAGGAGCUACAGAUGGAGGCACAAGAGGAGGUGGAAACUCUAAGUGAAUCGAUGAAGGCCAUGAGUGAGGAGAAUGCAAGACUCCAAGAGCAGCUAAAGCAGACAGAGGGACUCCCAGAAGCCAUGCAGAAGUUGCAGGAGAGACUUGAACAGGUAGAGGAAGAGGCCGGAAGCCUCCAAGAGAUCCGGCAGAGGGAAGGGGACACACUGAGGUCUCAGUUGAGCGACGAGGCAGCGCACCACCAAAGUCAAGUACAGGGUCUGAAUGAGGAACUGGAUGCACUAAGGAAGAGAUUGGAAAACGAAGUUGAGAAAGUCUCAAGUCUUGAGUCCAAAGUGUUGGAGCUUGAGUCUGUCAACAGUCAGAUGAUCGAAAAGAAAAAUGCCCUCGCUGAUGAUUAUGAAACUAUAAUUCAUCAGAAAGAGGAACAGAUAAAAAACCUGAGACUGGACUUAUCAAGAUCUGAGAAGGAACUGGCACUUGCUCAGCAGUCCUGUCAUGAACUGGGGGUGAACUUAAGCAGAAGUGCAAUGGAGAAGCAUGACAUUGAACUGAAGAUGUCUGCUGAGAUAGAUGACCUUUAUCGUACCAAGAAGAACCUGGGGGAGAGACUUAUUGAGCUCCUAAGGGAGAAAGAUGCUUUAUGGCAGAAGUCAGAUGCACUGGAGUUCGAACAGAAACUGAGAGCUGAGGAACAGACCGACAGAGACGUCACAUACUGCCUGAGCUGCCGCAAUAACUUCGGCUGGAUGCUGCACAGACACAACUGCAGGCUAUGUGGGCGCCCAUUCUGUUACUACUGCUGCAAUUAUGCUGUGAGUGUCCAAGGCGGUGGUAAGGAGCGCUGUUGUAAGGACUGCUUCACUCAGCACAGUACUGGACAAGAGCGUCUUUUACGCUCAAUGUCAAGCCCAACCCGAACCAGCACACCUAGAGUCCCUGGGGUACUGAGGUCCCCUCGGCCAGAUGACGCAGCGUAUGACAUCAUCACAGAAGAGGAGGUGAACCGUGUCCAUGACAGCGACUUGUACUACACUGCACUGUCACCAGAGACAGAACAGCUGAGCAGCAGUGACAUCGCCAGCACAGAAGAUUCAGACGAGCUGAUUGGCUCGGUUCAGGAUGCUGAGAUCUGCCUGCUGAAGUCUGGAGAGAUGACGCUGUCUGUGCCGUUCAGUGUAAAGGACGUGAAUGAGUUUGGCGAUAUGUCCAGAGAACUCUUCAUCAAGUCCGGCUGUUACAGUGUCAUUCUCAUAACCGCUGCACAUCCGGGCCCUACGAUCAGCUGGGUCUUCUCCUCUGAACCCAAGAGCAUCGCCUUCAGCGUGGUGUACAGAGAGAACGCAGAUACGCCUCUAGAAGAGGCCAAGGUUCUGAUCCCUCUGACAAGAUGUAAAUCUCAUAAGGAAACAAUUCAGGGUCAGUUGAAGGUCAGGAACACUGGAGAAUACACCCUUAUCUUUGACAACUCAUUCUCAAGGUUCGUCUCAAAGAAGGUCCUGUUCAAACUGAGCAUAGAGAAGACAGAGGAAGCCAAUGGAAAUGAUUGUUCUUCAUAAGAAAACACAACACACACACUAUUCGGACUGUGCCAGGUCAACGGACUGCUUGUCCAGGAUGAUGUCUUCAUCAAGCCAAACACGGGCUGCAUCCAGUCUUGCUCGGAUGCCGGUUGCCCGUGGUUACGGCAGCGCUGCAGAGGCCGAGCGCCGUUGAUCUCACCGUGAAGUCCAUCUGAACACAGCGUGUUUGUGGUGCAGAGUCCAGACCAUUUCCCAAGGUUAAUGAACCCAUUGUAAAUCAGAUCACAUCCUGUGACCAGCCUGCAAUGAUCUGAGAUUUAUACACAUACAGGCAGAGAGAGAGAGAGAGAGAGAGAGCUGGGGGAGGAUGUAGAAAAAUCUCCAUGGAUCCAGUUUGUGCAGGACUCCAGGGAAAUGUGGGAUUAAACGGAAGGAGACCUGAGGUGGCAGUCGGGUCAUAUCCUGGAAGGAGCUUGUCAUGUGGGAAGACAGUCAAACACCUUCGAUUGGAAUGACGAGACGGCCGGCUUGCGCUGCCAGACGACUGCAGAGACAAAAGGAACAAAGUGAAAUGGACAAAUUGCUGUGAGUCUGAAUUGCAAAAAGAUUUCGCACCCUGGACACGAGGGAGACUUUGCCCCAACGUGUGUCAUCCACUCCAAACCCUACAUAGAGAGCGACCUCGCCGUCUACAUAGGCAGCUGCCUUCUAAAGCAGCGUUCUUCUAAAACUGCACACAGCAAGUGCGCUCUUCACGGGGGGCCGCAGGAGUUCGGCGCUCAACCCUUCAAGCAUCUUCGUCACCACCAAAUCACCAUGGCAAUAGCGGGCGCCGAGGGCCCUGAAUGAGGCACCGACUCUGUUUGAGACGUCUGCUGAGCCGCGAGGAUGGGAAUCGCACAGUGGAACAAUACAAGGAAAGUAAACCCUUCAAUGUAAAAUUCCUUCUUAAUAAUUAGAGCACUGUUUUUGAUGCUUUAUAAAGUGCUCUGAUGUUGAAGGGCAUCUGGUUCUGGCGAGGUCUUCGAUUAAGAGAACUCUCUACUGCUGAUAUAUUGCUGGAAAUUGAGUGUUUUUGUACUUUUUUCCCCUUGGAAACUUCUGGCAGCUAUUGAUUUUAAACUGCUUUCCCAUCUUUGGAGCACAGUGUGAUAAAAAUAACACUCUCCACAAUUAUGCUAUAUUAUUAACUGUAGUUUAUAUAACACAGCACUCUUCUUCUCUAUGUGAAUGUGUGCAUAUGUUGACCUUUAGAUUCUCUGCAGAUAUUCAUCAGUUUUUGUGAGUUAGUGUGCUCCCCCUCACCUCAUUUCAGACUAUAUAAAUGAUGGUGAACAGAUCCCAGCAGGACACUGGGUUGAACCCUGUGUGUCAUUGCUCGGGUCAUGCGGCCGGGGUGAAAGCAUUUGGCUUUUGUAAUUCUGCUGAUUACUAGAGAAAAACCUGGUGUCUGGUUUAAAGGCUUACCGGGAGAUCUGACAGACAAAACUGAAGAAAAAAACGAAAAACUUUUAGAAAUUGAAUGGAAUAGUUCACAAAAAAAAAAAAAAAAUGUCAUUAUUUACUAAUCCUCAUGCCGUUCCAAA